AAUGUCAAGGCCCAAAUGGCGCCACGUAAAAAAAAGGAAGUGUUCGCCUCGUCACAAGGCAAGCAAAUCCGCUUUCUCCAUUACAAAGCGGAGACCCCGCCGCAACGCCAAGAGCCAAACCGCCUCCUCCUUCCCAAAAGGCCAAAACCGCCCACCUCCUCUCGCCCCUUCUCGCCGCCUCCGCCGCCGCCGCCGCCGACGAGGAGGAGGCCGAUGGGCUCCGAGGAGGAGCCGUCGCAGAUGCGGAGGGCGCUGGUGGACGCGCUCGCGGGGGCCAUCUCCGGCGGCAUCUCCCGCACCGUCACCUCCCCCCUCGACGUCAUCAAAAUCCGCUUCCAGGUUCAAUUGGAGCCCACAACCUCGUGGGGUGUACUUCGAAGGGAUGUCUAUGGACCUUCCAAGUACACUGGGCUUUUGCAAGCAAGUAAAGAUAUUCUCCGAGAGGAAGGUUUGCCGGGAUUUUGGAGAGGAAAUGUUCCAGCCCUAUUAAUGUAUAUGCCAUAUACAGCUAUACAAUUCACUGUUCUACACAAGCUGAAAACAUUUGCUUCUGGUUCAUCCAAAACAGAGGAUCAUUUGCACUUGAGUCCUUACCUAUCGUAUGUAAGUGGGGCUAUAGCAGGAUGUGCAGCAACAGUAGGAUCAUAUCCAUUUGACCUUCUCAGAACAAUUCUUGCAUCACAGGGUGAACCGAAGGUUUACCCUGACAUGAGGUCUGCAUUUCUUGAUAUAAUGAAAACCCGCGGUUUCCGAGGACUUUACGCCGGUCUAACUCCAACUCUUGUUGAAAUCAUACCAUAUGCUGGCUUACAGUUUGGUUCAUAUGAUACUUUCAAACGGUCGAUGAUGACAUGGAAUAGGUACCGAUAUUCACAUCUUAACUCAGGAAGUGAGGAUGAUUCAGUAUCAAGCUUCCAGUUAUUUCUUUGUGGAUUUGCAGCCGGAACAUUUUCAAAAGCUGCUUGUCACCCACUUGAUGUUGUAAAGAAAAGAUUUCAGAUUGAAGGAUUAAAACGACAUCCAAGAUAUGGCGCCCGAAUUGAGAGCAGCACAUACAAGGGCAUGUACCAUGCCCUAAAAGAGAUUGUUGCGAAGGAGGGGUUUGGAGGCCUUUAUAAAGGACUUUUCCCAUCUUUGGUGAAAUCGGCUCCUGCUGGUGCCGUGACAUUUGUGGCAUAUGAAUACAUCUCAGACUGGUUAGAGUCAAUACUGAUGUGACAAAUCGCCAUGCAGUGUUAUUCAUUUUCCUCCCCGUUUUGUGUUGUAUUGUCCUUAUUAUUUCGCCCUGCUGUUGCACACUUGAAUUAGUUUAAUUGAUCCAUUUCUGGAAGAGGCUGCAGUUCCUUUAGAUCUUGCAGUCUAUACAAGAUUUGAGGAGCCUACAAAACCAGCUGGAUGAGUAAUGCUUGAUAGGGAGCAAAGCUGGAGUCGAGUGAGUUCUUGGAUGAAGGAGCCAUUGAGAGAUACAACAUACAAUGAUGAGAGAACAGUGUCCACUCUUAAUUGUUUUGUGACCGCAAGGUCGAAAGUUAAAAAGUGCAUACAAUCCCUUGAGAGCUGAUACUUGGAAAGCCUUGCAUAGAAUUAGCUACUCUUGUCAUUUCUCUGCCUUUUUGCCCCAUUGACCUGUGUUGUUGCAUUCGUUGAGAUGUAACAGUGAGGAUGAGUAAAACUAAGGAAAGUGUAGAGCUUGUGACGCUUGAUGAAGGCCGGGGAGCGGCAGGCAUUUUUGUUAAGAUGAUAUUAUCUCACUCCUAUAUGUCCCUCACUCACAUAAUGCAGUUAAUGUGAACUGUUACAUGAUUCGUAGCUUAUCUGCCUUUAUGGCUCAUGCAAACUGUAACUCUGGGAGACUGGGACUGAAAGUCGUUAUUUGCUUCGUGAUGAGUAGCAUUUCCUGCUUCUUUA